rnacentral:rRNA from 1 species
UACGGAGGGUGCAAGCGUUAGUCGGAAUUACUGGGCGUAAAGGGUGCGUAGGCAGGGAUAUAAGUCUGAUGUGAAAAACCAAAGCUCAACUUUGGCCGUGCAUCAGAAACUGUAUUUCUAGAGGGAUAGCGGAGAAAACGGAAUUCCACGUGUAGCGGUGAAAUGCGUAGAUAUGUGGAAGAACACCUGUGGCGAAAGCGGUUUUCUAGCUUACCCCUGACGCUGAGGCACGAAAGCAAGGGGAGCAAACAGG